GGGCCCGUAGCUCAGCCAGGUAGAGCACCGGAGGGAACCCGGGGGUCUGGGGUUCAAUUCCCCACGGGCCCG
rnacentral:tRNA from 1 species